CGGAUGUUGGAUCCAGAGAUGAGACACGUUUGUGAGAAUAGCUUUUUCUUUAAACAAAAUCUUUGAGAAAACAUACAUCCUGUAAGGAGCAGCAGAUUUCUUAUAUAAAGCACAGAAUCUGCUCAAUAAAUCACCAGUCUUCUACAGGACACAAAGUAAACAUGAACAAGUCAGCUCUUCUCCUUUUGCUCGUCGUCGGACUCAUCGUUCUCACUGACACCACUGUUGGUUAUACACGCCGUCGUCGUAGAUGGAUAUGGAACCAAAAGCCAGCAAGUGCUGAAGACACCAAUGAGAUGGACGGUCAUCAUCCCUAUUAUGAAGUUAUGCAAAGACUCAACGAAGCAGAACAAUAAUUUGUUCCCCAUUAAAUGUAUCAAUUAUGAACAGUUGAUAUAAAUAAAUUCAACAGCAUUUA